AUUGAACGCUGGCGGCAUGCCUUACACAUGCAAGUCGACGGUAACAGCACUUCGGUGGCUGACGAGUGGCGAACGGGUGAGUAAUACAUCGGAACGUGCCCGAGAGUGGGGGAUAACGCAGCGAAAGCUGUGCUAAUACCGCAUACGAUCUACGGAUGAAAGCAGGGGACCGCAAGGCCUUGCGCUCAUGGAGCGGCCGAUGGCAGAUUAGGUAGUUGGUGGGAUAAAAGCUUACCAAGCCGACGAUCUGUAGCUGGUCUGAGAGGACGACCAGCCACACUGGGACUGAGACACGGCCCAGACUCCUACGGGAGGCAGCAGUGGGGAAUUUUGGACAAUGGGCGAAAGCCUGAUCCAGCCAUGCCGCGUGCAGGAUGAAGGCCUUCGGGUUGUAAACUGCUUUUGUACGGAACGAAAAGGUCUUUUCUAAUAAAGAAGGCUCAUGACGGUACCGUAAGAAUAAGCACCGGCUAACUACGUG
rnacentral:rRNA from 1 species